rnacentral:lncRNA from 1 species
GUGUUCCGGUGCGCCUGCAGAAUGGUCGCACUGACGAGAGCUCCGUCAACUCUUUGUUUGUUUUGUUACUGUUAGUAGUUUGUUUCGUCAAUGUCGCAGUUUCGCUAAUUCAAUAUGACCAGCAGACACUUCUGGAUAUCAGAUUUGCACUUGGAAAGGACUAUUACACAAACUUUAAUUCAACUUUCCGGAGUACGAGCUCGGACUGCAGUGGGCUCUUUGUUGUUCCGCCGUUGCGUUUACCAAUAAGACGGAGGAAGAAGAAAUGAGGCCGACGUGCUGGAGUUCUCCGACAUGCGGAUUCAGACAAGCGCAGGGGCGGAGGGGUCUGUGUUAUGGUUAACUUUUCUUGGGCUACGGACAUAGCAGUACUAGCAUCUCACUGCUCUCCAGUCCUUGAGCUGUUAACUGUAAAAAUCAGACCCUUCUAUCUACCACGGGAGUUUACUGCAGUCGUUAUGAGUGUAGUCUACAUUCCCCCCCAAGUAGAUAAGGCUACUGCUCUGGACGAACUGUAUGAAAUUAUCAACGGUCUGGAGAAUGUGCACCCAGAGGCAGCCUUUAUUGUUGUUGGUGAUUUCAACAGAGCCAACAUGAAGAAAGUCCUGCCUAAAUACUAUCAGCACAUUGACUUCUUCACACGUGGAGAUCAGACCCUUGACCAUUGUUAUACGACAUUCCGGGGCAGUUACAAACCCCUCCCCCGCCCUGCUUUUGGGAAAGCUGAUCACGCCUCCAUUCUACUACUCCCCGCAUAUAGACAAAAGCUAAAACAGGUCAAACCGGUUGUGAGGACAGUCCAUCAAUGGAGCGACGAGAGUGUGGCGACUCUCCAGGAUUGUUUUGACACCACUGACUGGCUGAUGUUUAGGGAGGCAGCAGAUGGGGACAUCAAUGAAUAUACAGACACUGUUUCCAGCUACAUCCAUCAUUGUAUUGAAGACAUCAUCCCGAAGAAGGCUGUCCGGUCUUUCCCCAAUCAGAAGCCCUGGGUUGAUGCCGCGGUCCGGACCAACCUGAGAGCCCGGUCUGCCGCCUUCAACUCUGGGGAUCAUGAUCAGUACAGGAAGACAAGAUACGACCUUCUGAGGGCCAUCAAAGCAGCUAAGAGGGCCUACAGAACCAAGGAUGAGUCCAGUUACCACGGCUCUGAUCCCAGGCGUAUGUGGAGUGGAUUAAGAGCCAUCACAGACUACAAAGGGAGGGGUUGCAGUGAGACCCAGUCCUCUGUCCUUCUUCCAGACGAGCUGAAUACCUUUUACGCUCGUUUUGAGAGGGACAGUGACCCCCCUGCAGUGGAGCUCCCUGAAAGCCUAACCAGUGGUGUGCCU